UACGGAGGGUGCAAGCGUUAUUCGGAAUUACUGGGCGUAGAGGGCGCGCAGGCGGCUCCUUAAGUCAGGCGUGAAAGCCCGGGGCUAAACCCCGGAAGUGCGUCCGAUACUGGGGGGCUUGAGUACGGGAGAGGGAAGUGGAAUUCCUGGUGUAGAGGUGAAAUUCGUAGAUAUCAGGAGGAACAUCGGUGGCGAAGGCGACUUCCUGGACCGAUACUGACGCUGAGGCGCGAAAGCGUGGGUAGCAAACAGGAUUAGAGACCCUGGUAGUCCACGCUGUAAACGAUGAACACUAGGUGUAGCGGGUGUUGACUCCUGCUGUGCCGCAGCAAACGCAUUAAGUGUUCCGCCUGGGGACUACGGUCGCAAGGCUAAA
rnacentral:rRNA from 1 species